UACGUAGGGGGCAAGCGUUAUCCGGAUUUACUGGGUGUAAAGGGAGCGCAGACGGAACUGCAAGUCUGAUGUGAAAGCCCGGGGCUCAACCGCGGGACUGCAUCAGAUACUGUAGAUCUGGAGUGCCGGAGGGGCAAGCGGAAUUCCUGGUGUAGCGGUGAAAUGCGUAGAUAUCAGGAGGAACACCGGCGGCGAAGGCGGCUUGCUGGACGGCAACUGACGUUGAGGCUCGAAAGCGUGGGGAGCAAACAGGAUUAGAUA
rnacentral:rRNA from 1 species